rnacentral:rRNA from 1 species
UACGGGGGGGGCAAGCGUUGUUCGGAAUUACUGGGCGUAAAGGGCGCGUAGGCGGCCUUCUAAGUCGGACGUGAAAUCCCUCGGCUUAACCGAGGAACUGCGUCCGAUACUGAAAGGCUUGAAUCCGGGAGAGGGAUGUGGAAUUCCAGGUGUAGCGGUGAAAUGCGUAGAUAUCUGGAGGAACACCGGUGGCGAAGGCGGCAUCCUGGACCGGCAUUGACGCUGAGGAGCGAAAGCGUGGGGAGCGAACAGG